rnacentral:rRNA from 1 species
AACGCGAAGAACCUUACCUACCCUUGACAUCCAGAGGAGACUGCAGAGAUGCGGUUGUGCCGAAAGGAACUCUGAGACAGGUGCUGCAUGGCUGUCGUCAGCUCGUGUUGUGAGAUGUUGGGUUAAGUCCCGUAACGAGCGCAACCCUUAUCCUUAGUUGCCAUCAUUUAGUUGGGGACUCUAAGGAGACUGCCGGUGAUGAACCGGAGGAAGGCGGGGACGACGUCAAGUCAUCAUGGCCUUUAUGGGUAGGGCUACACACGUGCUACAAUGGCCGGUACAGAGGGCAGCCAACCCGCGAGGGGGAGCUAAUCCCGAAAAGCCGGUCGUAGUCCGGAUCGGAGUCUGCAACUCGACUCCGUGAAGUCGGAAUCGCUAGUAAUCGCGAAUCAGAAUGUCGCGGUGAAUACGUUCCCGGGCCUUGUA